AAGGGAAAAACACCCAGUUGCUGCAACCCAUUUCCAUUUGAAAUUGGUAUGUGCAUCUUGAUUUUAUUAUUGAGAUAGGUGGAGAAAGAGAAAGAAGAUGGAUCCCGCAUAACAGUUCCUAUCACCAAUCCAUCAACCCAGGACAACAUAUCAAGACCACUGUAUCCAACUUUUUCAAAUUACAUGCCAAGUUACUAUAGUCCAGUGCCUCAUGCUUGGUUACCACCUUUUGUGCCUCCUCCAAGUGCCAGCCCAUAUCCAUGGAGCAAUCAG